rnacentral:rRNA from 1 species
UACGUAGGUGACAAGCGUUGUCCGGAUUUACUGGGCGUAAAGAGCGCGCAGGCGGUCGAUCAAGUCGAGUGUGAAAGCCCCGGCUCAACUGGGGAGGGUCAUUCGAUACUGAUCGACUCGAAGGCAGGAGAGGGUAGUGGAAUUCCCGGUGUAGUGGUGAAAUGCGUAGAUAUCGGGAGGAACACCAGUGGCGAAGGCGACUACCUGGCCUGUUCUUGACGCUGAGGCGCGAAAGCUAGGGAGCAACGGGAU